GAGGAUGUGGCUCAGUGGUAGAGCACAUGCUUAGCAAGCAUGAGUUCCUGGGUUCAAUCCCCAGUACCUCCG
rnacentral:tRNA from 1 species